rnacentral:rRNA from 1 species
GACGAACGCUGGCGGCGUGCUUAACACAUGCAAGUCGAACGGAAAGGCCCUGCUUUUGUGGGGUGCUCGAGUGGCGAACGGGUGAGUAACACGUGAGUAACCUGCCCUUGACUUUGGGAUAACUUCAGGAAACUGGGGCUAAUACCGGAUAGGAGCUCCUGCUGCAUGGUGGGGGUUGGAAAGUUUCGGCGGUUGGGGAUGGACUCGCGGCUUAUCAGCUUGUUGGUGGGGUAGUGGCUUACCAAGGCUUUGACGGGUAGCCGGCCUGAGAGGGUGACCGGCCACAUUGGGACUGAGAUACGGCCCAGACUCCUACGGGAGGCAGCGGUGGGGAAUAUUGCACAAUGGGCGGAAGCCUGAUGCAGCAACGCCGCGUGCGGGAUGACGGCCUUCGGGUUGUAAACCGCUUUCGCCCGUGACGAAGCGUGAGUGACGGUAAUGGGUAAAGAAGCACCGGCUAACUACGUG